rnacentral:tRNA from 1 species
GGAGAGAUGGCUGAGCUGGUUGAAAGCGCUCGACUCGAAAUCGAGUAAGGGGAUGAUGAGUCUCCUUCGGGGGUUCGAAUCCCUCUCUCUCCGCCA